CUUUUCACAAUGAUCAGCCGGGCAGAAGGCUGAGUGACAGGAGGCUCGUGGCUCCGUUGCUUUCAGGAUGGAAAAAGAAAGAAGAAUAAGAAUUUAGAGCUUGCUUGCUUGCUUGGGAGAGUGAAUCCUUCAUUUCUGUUUAGAGGAUCUGUUUUUGAAGAAUUGGAGAAUGAAAAUGGUGGCCUUGAAGUACUCACAAAUAGCUAUAGUCUGACAUAUGCUUUCAUUAUUUUGUGCCUUCCAAAUAUAUUGGACUGUUCUAUCUAUAAUUCCUAGCCUACAUAUUUUUUGUUGGCUGGACAUUGUGAGACUGCUGUCAAAUACAACCAGAUGUACCAGGCUGGGAAAGGCUGCAUUAAAAGAUUUUGGCAAUCCAA